CAGUCGCCACGGGAAUACGAAGGGUGCAAGCGUUAAUCGGAAUUACUGGGCGUAAAGCGCACGCAGGCGGUUUGUUAAGUCAGAUGUGAAAUCCCCGAGCUUAACUUGGGAACUGCAUUUGAAACUGGCAAGCUAGAGUCUUGUAGAGGGGGGUAGAAUUCCAGGUGUAGCGGUGAAAUGCGUAGAGAUCUGGAGGAAUACCGGUGGCGAAGGCGGCCCCCUGGACAAAGACUGACGCUCAGGUGCGAAAGCGUGGGGAGCAAACAGGAUUAGAGACCCCGGUAGUCCCUGUCUCUUAUAC
rnacentral:rRNA from 1 species